rnacentral:sRNA from 1 species
GCUCUCCCACCCUUUGUGAACUAAACCUCUGUUGCUUUGGCGUGGCCAGCGCUGUAAAAGGCGCGGUCGGCGGGGCCUGGCCCCCGCUGGCAAGCUUGCCCGCCAGAGGACUAUCAAACUCUUGUCAGUAAACGAUGCAGUCUGAUUCAAACAUUUAAUUGUUUAAAACUUUCAACAACGGAUCUCUUGGUUCUGGCAUCGAUGAAGAACGCAGCGAAAUGCGAUAAGUAAUGUGAAUUGCAGAAUUCAGUGAAUCAUCGAAUCUUUGAACGCACAUUGCGCCCUAUGGUAUUCCGUAGGGCAUGCCUGUUCGAGCGUCAUUACACACCUCAAGCUCUGCUUGGUAUUGGGCGUCGCCCCCCUACACGGGGGACGUGCCUCAAAGACCUCGGCGGUGGCGUCUUUGCCUCAAGCGUAGUAAUAUUCUUAUCUCGCUUUGGAGUCGAAGGCGUCGCCCGCCGGACGAAACCUUUAUUUUUCUAUCAAGGCGGCGAGUGAAGCGGCAACAGCUCAAAUUUGAAAUCUGGCCCUUUCAGGGUCCGAGUUGUAAUUUGUAGAGGAUGCUUCGGCGAGGGCUCCCGUCUAAGUUCCCUGGAACGGGACGUCAUAGAGGGUGAGAAUCCCGUAUGUGAUGGGUUGCUCGAGCCAUGUGAAGCUCCUUCGACGAGUCGAGUUGUUUGGGAAUGCAGCUCUAAAUGGGAGGUAAAUUUCUUCUAAAGCUAAAUACCGGCCAGAGACCGAUAGCGCACAAGUAGAGUGAUCGAAAGAUGAAAAGCACUUUGGAAAGAGAGUUAAAAAGUACGUGAAAUUGUUGAAAGGGAAGCGCUUGCAACCAGACUUGUCCGCAGUUGUUCAGCCGGUCUCCUGACCGGCGUACUCUUCUGCGGCCAGGCCAGCAUCAGUUCGGGCGGUUGGAUAAAGGCCUCGGGAAUGUGGCUCUCUUCGGGGAGUGUUAUAGCCCGGGGCGGAAUGCAGCCAGCCUGGACUGAGGAUCUCGCUUCGGCAAGGAUGCUGGCGUAAUGGUUGUAAGCGGCCCGUCUUGAAACACGGACCAAGGAGUCUAACAUCUAUGCGAGUGUUUGGGUGUCAAACCCAUACGCGUAAUGAAAGUGAACGGAGGUGGGAACCCGCAAGGGCGCACCAUCGACCGAUCCUGAUGUCUUCGGAUGGAUUUGAGUAAGAGCAUA